rnacentral:rRNA from 1 species
CACGUAGGUGGCAAGCGUUAUCCGGAAUUAUUGGGCGUAAAGAGCGCGCAGGUGGUUAAUUAAGUCUGAUGUGAAAGCCCACGGCUUAACCGUGGAGGGUCAUUGGAAACUGGUAGACUUGAGUGCAGGAGAGGAGAGUGGAAUUCCAUGUGUAGCGGUGAAAUGCGUAGAUAUAUGGAGGAACACCGGUGGCGAAAGCGGCUCUCUGGCCUGUAACUGACACUGAGGCUCGAAAGCGUGGGGAGCAAACAGG